AAACCAUUGGGCUGCACCCCCAUUUCCCCUUUGCCAUCCCACACUAUUUCACGUCUGCCCCUGGCUUUGUUCUGCACUGUCCGCAGCUUAGUCUAUAAGAACAAGAGUAGUCACCCAUGUCCUGAGGGCAGCUUCUUACCAUGCUGCCAAAAUGGAGCAUUUAUGGAACUAGGAUGGAGCCCAAUCGGAAGUAGCUCUACAUCGUGUGAUGGGCUCUGUCAGUCUCAGUCCUGGCUGCAUCUCAGCAGCGUCCUAGGACGGGAUGAAGUCCUCUGUUGUAUCUUGAGGAACCCUGAAGCCUGGCUGUGAACCCUGGAACCUUGUAUAAGAAUUUCAGUUGAAGCUCGUGAAUGGAUUCCUGGACUGGAAAACUGCACCUAUAAAAGGAGAUGGAAAAAGCGGGCUACUAAUCCCAAAAGCCAGACCAGUUUCUACAAGAGUGAUGUUCCAUAUUUGGAAUCCUAUUGCUUGGAGACUACCUCGAACUUCUAUAUUCCCAGGAAUCUGGGGAACUGUUUUGGUGCUUUUAAAAAAACUAUUAGCUGAUUUUAUUUUUGAGUUGAUAACAUGCUGCUGAUUGUUUUAUUUUGAUUCUUAUUUGACUUGUUUUAUCUUAUUGGUGUUAUGGUAUGUUAGUUUUGACUGGCUUGUGUAAUCUUGUUUUUGUUUGACUGGCUUUAUCUGGAUUUUAUCUAUUAUGUUUUACAGCAAUUUUUGAUUUAUACUUUCAUGUCCGUACCUCCUAGAUAAUUUAUUGAGUAACCUGAAAAUAUAAAAUAACAUUAAUAAAUGCAUGUUGUACAAUGUAAAUAAUAAACAUGUUCAGAACUGAGGAAGACAAAUUCUAGGAAUGGGAAUCGACAUGCAUGUUUGGCAGAUGCAACUACAUUUUUAUGACUUGGUGUCACAUGUAAAUCAUAGCCUGGAUGAAAAAUUGGAUGGGAAUCAACUAGAUAAAAUAUACAGGACUAACUCCAUUUUGCUGGUAGUUGUGGCAGGGAAGAUACUUUAUUUUCUCUCUCCUUCACUCUGUCCUGCCUGAAAACUGGGAAUAGAGGGUUUCUUAGCCCUUCAUAUCCAGUUGGAGGGACUGCAGCAGGGGGGGGGGGGGCAUCCCAGAACCAAGGUCUAGCACAGUGGUUCUCAACCUGGGGGUCUUCAGAUGUUUUUGGCCUUCAACUCUCAGAAAUCCUAACAACUGGUAAACUGGCUGGGAUUUCUGGGGGUUUUAGGCCAAAAACACCUGGGGAGCCACAGGUUGAGAACCACUGGUCUAGAAAAUAUCAAAGGUCAACUGUAUAUUAUGAGAACAGAAAGCCCAUUACAGUAGAGUCUUGCUUAUCCAACAUUCGCUUAUCCAACGUUCUGUAUUAUCCAACGCAGUUUGCCUUUUAGUAGUCAAUGUUUUUGUAGUCAAUUUUUCAAUACAUAGCAAAAUUUUGCUGCUAAAUUCGUAAAUACAAUAAUUACUACAUAACAUUAUUGUGUAUUGAUCUGCUUUUUCUGUCCAUGUGUUGUAAAACAUGAUGUUUUGGUGCUUAAUUUGUAAAAUUAUAACAUAAUUUGAUGUUUAGUAGGCUUUUCCUUAAUCCCUCCUUAUUAUCCAACAUUUUUGCUUAUUCAAUGUUCUGCCGGCCUGUUUAUGUUGGAUAAGUGAGACUCUACUGUAUUUGAAAUAAUUAGUUCACAAAAGUUUUCUGGAAUCAAAACGUCUUCACCUGAUAACAAAAAGACAGCAAGGAGUGAGCCAGCCUAGACCUCCCUAAGAAAAGUGUUACAGAAUAUAGGAACUUCUCUGAAGGUGUGAACAAGAAUAUAAUAUAUGUAAGAAGAACUAUAUCAUGGUGGGUGGGAGUCUCAGGGUUACCCUUCAUAGGAAAGGGUACACCAAACACAUCCAUUUGCAUGACCUCUCAAACAUACUCCGAGCUUUCCAGGUAGAGAAAAGGGACUUAAUUUGAACAAAACAAAUCCCCAGUCAAGUGAAAGGACUGCAGCACAGAUCCAAUGAAGUAUCUUCAGGCUACAGGCCCCAGUGAGAUUUUGUUAAGUGAUUGUGGCUCCUUGAUAAGGCCUUCUCACUGGGAGUCCUCUCUCUCAACCUCAACCUCCACCUCCACAGUCAGGCAACCCAGAAGAGCCUCUCUCCAUGUGAUACUCAUGUCUUUCCUUGAGACCCUUCCCACCACCAGCACUCAGGUCCACAGGAGAUAGCUGCAGCCCAUUUCCUGUCCUGCAGCUUCUUUCCAGAUCUCCUUCUGAGCUUGUUGGUGCUGUCUUCCCUGCCACACCCUUUGGAAAGGCUUAAUUCAGGCCAGCAGGUGGUUCUCCUUUCCUCCUGAGGCCAGGGAGCUGGUAACGGCUAAGGCACUGCUCCUGAUAGUCCUUUUCUUCCACAUUGGUUUAUGGUGCAGAGAAAGAAUGAUCACAUCUGUUCAGUGUUACGCAUCUCUAUUCCUUGUAGUCGACAAAUGUCACCUGUAAUUUUUUUUAAAAAAACACCUCUAGAAGUUACCAGGUUAGAGAAGUGGUAGAAGCCAGAAUAUAUUAAGUCAGUUGUGAAUUGAGCCAAGGUCAGCCCUCUUUUCUCCUUUCAACAAGCAACAAUAACUUGCAAGCGACACAGAAUUUCAAAGUACUUGACUACUUUUGUGCCAAGUGCCAGUGUUUCAGAAGUUCUGCUUCUUCAAUUGCGGUGCCAGUUUUACUAGUACAAAUACCUCCAAAAGGAAUAGGUCUUUGAAAUAUCAGGUUUUUAUCCAGUGGGGGUUUUUCAAUGAUUUUGGGUCAUCUUCAGUUUUUCAAGGCUGUUUUGGGGGACUAUGGGCACAACAUAAAAUUUCUCCAAUGCUCCCUGGGCCUCUUUUUCACAGAUUUGCCUAUUCCCAUUUCCAUCCAUGGUGUAAGAAAAAUAGGGGAAAGAAAUGUCUCAUCUGAAACACAGGCCUGUCUUCCCUGCUUUGAACUAGAAUGUUCUUGUAGAGAUAUUGCAGGAAUUAGGUUUGUUUGAGGCAAUGGUUGCAUAUGUGCAGAGGACACUCCCUGAUAGCACACUGUGCUAGAUGGAACCUGUUUUAAUUCCCUUCCGGGACACAGUGGGGCGGAGAUGGAGUGCAAAUUAUAAAGGCAGCAGACAGGAUCUGAAUUACCACCAGUGAAGAGAGUGACUGAGAGGCUACCUGGCUUUCUUCCCCAUUAGACAAAACCAACACCGAACCAGGAAUUGAAGGCAGAAAGACUGACACAUCUGACAUUUCUUUGCCAGAGCUGCAUUAUACUUGAAGGAUGUCUUCCAUCUUGAAAGUGUUUGGGAGAGACGAUAAGGAGAAGGAAAAGGAGAAGGAAAAAGACAAGAAAGAUGAAGACAAAAAAGACAAGAAAAAGAAGGAGAAAAAGCAUGAUGGAAAAGAUGAUGACAGCAGCAGCAGCUCCGACAGUGAUUCUGAAAAGGGUCAUAGUGGUGCCAAAAAGGAAAAGAAGAAGAAGGAAAAGAAAGAAAAGAAUUAACUUUCAAGGCAACUUUAAACUAGCAAAGGCAAAAACAUUGACCAAACUAGCUAAGAUCCUCAUGCCAUUUGGAGAGAAGAAUCAACUGCCUGAAUUUAAUUUACCCAAAAUUAUGUGUAUUAAAUUUGUUUAUAUUAAAA